ACGCUAUUCCCUAAGAUUAACCCAUGCAUGUUUUUGACAUUUGAAAAAUGGACUGCUCAGUAAUACUCACUUUAUUUUAUGUAAAUUUUUAAUUAACUACGUUAAAGUGUAGAUAAGAUGUUUACAGUAAGAGUGAGACCUAUCAGCUAGUUGUUAAGGUAAUGGCUUAACAAGGCUGUGACGGGUAACGGUAUUACUUUGUAAUAUUCCGGAGAAGGAGCCUGAGAGACGGCUACUAAGUCUAAGGAUUGCAGCAGGGGCGAAACUUGACCUAUGGAUUUUAUCUGAGGCAGUUAUGGGAAGUAAUAUUAUAUUGUUUCAUAUUUUAAAAGUAUAUGAGGUGAUUAAUUGGAGGGCAAAUCAAGUGCCAGCA
rnacentral:rRNA from 1 species